GCCCUAGGCGCUCCGCCCCAGGGACCCGCUCCGACUGCUGCAGUUCGGGCCUUAUUUUAGGGUGAAGCCCGGGCACCCGACCCGGCUGCGCCGUAGUGGGAGGCCACGGCGAUUAUUCAGGUGAAGGUCUUCCAGGACCCACUGGCUGAUGAUGGCUUCACCUGGACCUGCCAACUACUCCUGGAGUCCCACCCAGAAGUGACUCAGCAAAGGAGGGUCCUGUCUCACCCUACGAUGGCACCCCCCCAACCAGUCAGCAGCAAGCACCACUGCCUAGCUACCCUACCCCUUCCCCCAAACGACCUUUGGAAAACCCCAGUCCCUGAGUUCUUGGGGAGACUGAUUUCAGUAAUAAUCACUUGUCCGUGUGAAUCAAACCCUUUCUCUAUUGCAGUUUCCCUACCUUGAUCAACUGACUCCAUCUGGAUAAGAAGAACCCGCCGGGUGGAUACAGUAUGAAGCCAUAUGAAGCCAGUUUUCCCAAGGGCUCUUAUGGGCUCUAUAAGUCAACUUGGAUUGCUUAAAGCAGUCCAUUUAUAUUUGAAAGCAUACCAUUCCAGUCAAAGCCUUGGUAAAAUAUGCAGGGUCUCUAAUUAUGUCCUAUUACAAGAGAAAACAGAUGGUACUGCACUUGUGCACAUAAUUCUAUUGACAUUAGAAUACAGAUAGGGGAAGGGAGAGGAAAACUUUUUUUUUUUUUUUUAAAUAGUGCUCACAAAUAGUUCCCAAUUUUUGGAGAAAUCAGAAAGAGAUGCUACUCAAGCAAAAUAAAAAAAAUAUAUAUAUAUAUGUUCCAAA